rnacentral:rRNA from 1 species
AACGAACGCUGGCGGCAGGCCUAACACAUGCAAGUCGAACGCGCGUAGCAAUACGCGAGUGGCGCACGGGUGAGUAAUACGUGGGAAUCAACCCUGAGGUUCGGAAUAACCGCGGGAAACUGCGGCUAAUACCGGAUGUCCCCUACGGGGGAAAGAUUUAUCGCCUUGGGACGAGCCCACGUCCGAUUAGCUAGUUGGUGAGGUAACGGCUCACCAAGGCUACGAUCGGUAGCUGGUCUGAGAGGACGACCAGCCACACUGGAACUGAGACACGGUCCAGACGCCGACGGGAGGCAGCAGUGGGGAAUAUUGGGCGAUGGAGGCAACUCUGACCCAGCCAUGCCGCGUGGGUGACGAAGGUCUUCGGAUUGUAAAGCCCUUUCGGCGGGGACGAUGAUGACGGUACCCGCAGAAGAAGCCCCGGCUAACUUCGUGCCAGCCGCCGCCGUAAAAC